CGGAGGAGCGGUUUGUCUCCCCCCCCCUCACCCGCUUCCCCGCUCCUCUUGCUCCCUCCCACCUUCCCGCUGACGGUUGGUGCCUCGCGCCGCUGCCGCCCACCCCCCUCGCGCGCUCCCCUCAGAGAGCCGUUGCCGCCAGCGCCUCUCUCUCUGUCCCUCAGGUGAAGAGGAUGGUGGCGGUUCCGCCGAGUCGCGCUCCGGAGCCCCGCCGCCCUCCAGCAGCCGCGUCGCACGGUGGCCACAACGCGGGGGAUUGAGAAUGUGCUAACAACAAUGCUAGGAUUACAAUGGGAAGUGUCACACUUCGCUAUUUCUGCUAUGGCUGCCUCUUCACAUCUGUGACCUGGACACUUCUACUCUUUAUUUAUUUCAACUUCAGCGAAGAGACCCAGUCUUUCAAGAAUGUGCCCAUCAAGGGGCUUGAACCUCAGAAGCCAUUUCCUAAAAAGAUCUAUCCCCGUUUUGUCCAUGGGCCAGUACACAUACCUGAAGCUAACCACAGAUACAGUAAGAACAGGAAUCCAUUGGGAAAUGCUGCACAGGAUCCCAUCAAGGGGGAUACUGAGAUGUCUCCUGAAAUGGGUAUGAUUUUUAAUGAACAAGACCAGGAAGUGAGAGACUUGGGCUAUCAAAAGCAUGCUUUCAAUAUGCUCAUCAGUAACCGGUUGGGAUAUCACAGAGAUGUGCCAGACACAAGAGAUGCAAAGUGUAAAGAAAAAAGUUAUCCUCAUGAUCUGCCCUACGCUAGCAUUAUAAUUUGUUUCUAUAAUGAAGCAUUCUCUGCCUUGCUUCGGACAGUGCAUAGUGUUUUGGACCGCACACCAUCUAAUCUUCUCCAUGAAAUUAUCUUGGUGGAUGACAGUAGUGAAUUAGCUGAUCUGAAAGAAGAAUUGGAUGCUUAUCUAACAAAAAAUCUUCCGAACAAUAUAAAGCUAGUCAGAAAUGAGAAGCGAGAAGGGCUAAUUCGUGGGAGAAUGAUUGGAGCUUCCCAUGCUACAGGGAAGGUACUUGUGUUUCUGGACAGUCACUGUGAGGUGAAUGAGCUGUGGUUGCAACCUUUGCUGACACCCAUCCAGGAAUCACGGAAAACAGUGGUUUGUCCUGUCAUCGAUAUAAUUAGCGCUGACACACUUACCUACAGCUCUUCCCCAGUUGUCCGUGGAGGGUUCAACUGGGGUCUGCACUUUAAAUGGGAUCUUGUUCCUUUGUCAGAACUGGAAGGCCCUGAGGGAGCCACAUCUCCAAUCAAGUCACCUACAAUGGCAGGAGGCUUGUUUGCAAUGGACAGAGAAUAUUUCAAUGAACUCGGACAAUAUGAUAGCGGCAUGGACAUCUGGGGAGGGGAAAACCUGGAAAUAUCAUUUCGGAUCUGGAUGUGUGGUGGCAAACUUCUCAUCAUCCCAUGCUCCAGAGUCGGACACAUCUUUCGUAAAAGGCGACCUUAUGGCUCCCCAGGCGGGCAGGACACCAUGGCGCACAACUCUCUACGGCUAGCUCAUGUGUGGAUGGAUGAAUAUAAGGAACAGUAUUUUGCUCUGCGACCAGAAUUACGGACAAGGAACUAUGGGAAUAUUACUGAUCGUGUGGAGUUGAGAAGAAAGUUGAACUGCAAAUCGUUUAAGUGGUAUUUAGACAAUAUAUACCCAGAGAUGCAAAUUUCUGGUUCUAAUGCCAAAGUACCGCCGCCACUCUUUUUCAACAAAGGGCAAAAACGACCAAAAACAUUGCAACGUGGACGGCUGCUUCAUCUUCAGACAAAUAAAUGUCUUGUUGCCCAAGGCCACCCAAGUCAAAAAGGAGGACUUGUUGUAGUCAGAGAGUGUGAUUACAAUGAUCAAAAUCAGGUAUGGCUUUACAAUGAAGAUCAUGAGCUGAUCCUAAACAAUCUCCUAUGCUUGGAUGUGUCUGAAUCUCGCACUUCUGACCCACCACGCCUUAUGAAAUGCCAUGGAUCAGGAGGAUCUCAGCAAUGGGUGCUUGGGAAACAUAAUCGACUCUAUCAGGUGUCCGUCGGGCAAUGCAUGAAGGUAGCUGAUCCGCUUAGCCUCAAAGGAUAUGUGACCAUGGCAAUUUGUGACGGCUCCCUCCCUCAGCAGUGGCGCUUUGAAAGCUGAGUGACAGCGAAGGCCCAUUUCCACAGUAGCCCAUAGUUGACCUUAUAGAGCCUGCAGUCCCUGCUGCUAUUUCUGAAACGGAACAGUUUGGGAAGCUUUUAGAAGCAAGCGGAAUAGGAGCUGUGGCAGCCACGUUUCAAUCUCUGCACACAUAGAAGUGCAAUUCAUUGCAGUGCUAUACCAAAUCUUGAGGCUCCUAAGAAAACCAUCUAGGAACAUUCUGGUAAAAUAAGAAACAUUUCCAAAUGAAAAUAUAGAGGUAAUAUUUAUAGAUGUAAAAUAUUUUAUUUGUAAAUGCUGAUCUUCUAAAUCUGUUUCCACAAAUUUCAAAGCCCAUAACACUCUGUAUACUUCAAAAAUUCAUUUUUUGCCAACAUUAGAUAACUAUUAUACAGAACAGAAAAAACCUGUAGGACAAAUACUGGUAGGAUGUUGGAAUAUUGUACAAGAGAAGAAAAAUAUUCGAGAAACAAAUUUCAUACAGCUAUUUAUCAAGAGAAAAAUAUAUACAAUUGAUUUAUUCUGUAAGAUAAAAAUACAUCAUGCCAUAUACAUUACAAGUUCAGAACUGUAGCACUGAAUAUAUCAACAGUUUUACAGUCCACUUUCGCUGUGCACACAAAAAACUUCAUUUUUUAAUAUUUAGACUGUGAAGUGUCAGUACCAGAAUUUAAAGUACAAAAUAAAAAAACUAAGCUGCUUCAAAAUGUUGAUUAGGUUUCUACAAGCAAACACAAACAGUGUUUUAUUUUUUUUAAAGAAAUGUAAACAAAACAAUCCAUACAAACACAUUUUUUAAAUUACAUUUUCCAAAACCCUAUUGCCAGAGUCCUGCAGCUGAAAGCACAAUUACACCUAAUUUUUUCUUUGUUUUUACUUUGAAAGAAGGCAGCUAUUGUAUUAGACUUACGCUCUCACUACACAUUUCUAUUUUCAUUACAUGAUUUAGUGUAAGCUGAACAGUUCAUGUAAUCCCCACUACCUUUUUCUGGAAAAGAAAAUCAAUGUUCAGCUUCUAUUUUGGGUGGUUUUAGCAGUUAUUCACAGUUAUCACAAAUUCUAAGCACAAAAAAACCUGAUUUAAGAAAUAGGGAUGUAACAAUAUAAUACAAAUAAAAUAAAUCGGUCUAAAUUUCCUCAGACAUCUACAAAAGUCAUAGUUGUAAUAUACAUGCUCUCUACCAGUCUUAACGGUUACUUAAAAAAGUUAUUAAUAGAGCACAGUUGAGCCUGCUUUAAAGAUUAAAAAAAUAAAGUAAAACCUCUCUUUAAAUUGAGAUUUUGGUUAUUCCAUAACAAUUGUAAUGGCAUUUUUAAUACAAGAGAUCAUAUUGUAACAUCCCUAUCAAAGUUUUAUAAUAAGCACCCGAACUGCUGCAAAGUCUGGUAGCAUUUGGUCAAUUACUAUUUUUUUAUACUGUACUUUAUUCCUCAAAAUAUUUACACUUUUGUACAAAGUAACAGGGUUUGUUAGUUCUGCAGGUAACAGCAGCAGCUUGGCUUCUAACUUUUCCUUUUAAAAAUAGCUUCAUUCACUUAUUUCAAUAAUAAAUACAAAAAGUUUCUCUUAUUUUACAGAAAUCAAAAACUACAAUAAACUGACUCAUGGAAUCAA